UAAGGUGGACCAUGUGGUGAUGG
rnacentral:piRNA from 1 species